GGACAGCGUGGUCAGAAUGGUGGACGAGGACGUAAUGGAGAGAAUGGUCCUGGAUUUGGUGGCCCAAGAAAUCCUGGCCAGAAUGGUCCCAGAUCUGGUGGUGGCCGAG